UUAAUGUCUGACUAGCUCACAGCUAUGGAGGUGAUAUUUCAAAAAUACCACUAAUACAGACAAACUUGAUUAUUUGUUUUCACUAUUUCUGCAGAUGGAGAACUGGAACGGGUUUUAAUGCUACAAAAUAGAGGGCUCAGUGCUAGAACUUUGGAAUUUCUGACUGGGUCCUUGGCACUCUUGAAACUCUCCAGGCCACAAUUUGUUGCCAGUGGCUCAGAAGAACUAGAGAGUAAACAUGGCUUUCAUUAAAGACUGAAAGAGUAUAAUAUCCAGGAAGCAGAGGACCAGAAGGCAGGCUGCCAUAUCAGCUCUUUCUUUAAAAGCAAAUCUAACUCGUGUGCUGAUAUGAGGCAAAAGUUCCAGCAGAACAUGAAGAAACAGCUUGUUCUUUACAUGACACCCUAGUGAGCCUUAAGAGAAGUCAGGAAGAGCAACAUUGUCAGAAAUACCAGGCUCUGAAACAAUUGAAGUAUUUUGGGAGAGACACGGAAAGAAUAAGACAGCUGGGCAUGAGGUGAUGAAGGUGGACU